rnacentral:lncRNA from 1 species
UUUCGAUGCGUCGAACACGAUUCUCGUUCGUACGUAAUGGAUGGUUACGAAUUCGAUCUGAAAAUUUUCCUUUUCUAUUAUUUUCUGUUUGUUUUCGGUUUGAAAAUUGUGUUGUUAAUAUGGUUGUUCUUAAUGAUGACGUUUGAAGAGAAUGAUGAGUCAAGGUAGAUGGAAGUGAAGGAUAUGCAUUAUUAUGUGUGAGAGUUUUUCAUGGUGUUAUAAGUUAUUUUGAAAGGAUGUUGAUGAAGGUGAUAGAGGUAAAGAGGAUUGUGUAGUGAUAGAAGUUAUGUUUAUGGUUUUGUUGUGACUUGUAGCAUGAAGGUGAAUGGAGUUUAAUGGUGUUGUUUUAUGAUUUAUGGUUUUGUUGUGACUUGUAGCAUGAAGGUGAAUGGAGUUUAAUGGUGUUGUUUUAUGAAGUGGUUUAUGGAACAUUCAUGUUGCAGAGAGGUGGGGUUUGGAGAUGGAAAAAGUUCUUUUUU